rnacentral:rRNA from 1 species
UACGAAGGGGGCUAGCGUUGUUCGGAAUUACUGGGCGUAAAGCGCGCGCAGGCGGUUUUCCAAGUCAGUGGUGAAAGCCCGGAGCUCAACUCCGGAAAUGCCAUUGAAACUGUAAAACUUGAGGACGAGAGAGGUGAGUGGAAUUCCCAGUGUAGAGGUGAAAUUCGUAGAUAUUGGGAAGAACACCGGUGGCGAGGGCGGCUCACUGGCUCGUUUCUGACGCUCAGGCGCGAUAGCGUGGGGAUCAAACAGG